rnacentral:lncRNA from 1 species
GAUACUAGUCAGAUUCGUUUCUGGGAGCCACGAUGGGAACGCCUAUAUACACACACACACACACACAUACACACAUUUCAAAUAAGAGGAUUUCUGGGAGUGAAGGGAGGAUACCAUGAAAUAACUACCAUAGAUAGUGGGCGUGAGCCAUGAUUAGGCAGACCAAAUGGAGGACAUAUUUUCACCCUACAUGUAAGGCAUAAGGGGAAUUAUCACCAUGGAUGGCUACAUAAUUUGUAGGGCUUAUUGCAAAAUGAAAGUGCAAGGUGCUUUGUUAAAAAAUUACUAAGAAUUUCAGCAUGCUAAUCGUACAGCAUGAAACCAAGCAUGAGGUCUUUUGGAGUGUGGGGUUCUACGUGACUGCCCAGGUCACAUGCCAUGAAUCUGUCUCUGAUUAUCACCACUGUUAAAAUGGGUGAGUUCCAGAACUUUUAUCUCCAUUCCCAGUAAAUGUCAACACACGCUUUUUUUUUUUUUUUUUUUUUUUUUUUUUUUGUCUUUUUAUCUUUUCUAGGGCCGCUUCCCAUGGCAUAUGGAGGUUCCCAGGCUAGGGGUCUAAUCGGAGCUGUAGCCACCGGCCUACGCCAGAGCCACAGCAACGUGGGAUCUGAGCCAUGUCUGUGACCUACAUCACAGCUCACGGCAACUCCGGAUCCUUAAUCCACUGAGCAAGGCCAGGGAUUGAACCUGCAACCUCAUGAUUCCUAGUCAGAUUCAUUAAACACUGCGCCAUGACAGGAACUCCUCAACACACAUUUUAAAAUCUCAUUUCAUUAAUUUUUAAACAUUGUAAAUACAUUUGUGAUUAUUUUGCUAAUUAGAAGUCCAUAGUGUAUAAAGUUUAGUGGUCUCACUCUGCCUGCAAUCUUAUCACUUUGACACAAGCCUUAGAAUGGAAGGCAAAAAAGAAUGAAAUUCCAGGAAUUCCACAUUUAACAGUUAAUAGAAGAGGUUUUGUUUUUUGCUCAGAACUAGCUGAUAUUAACAUUAUUGAUGUACUCUUUUCUUCUAAUCAUUUAAGAGUGUCCCCUAUUUAUAGGCAAAGGGUAUCGGUUUAGGGAACACAAACAUUUGAUCUAAAUACUUGCUAGGAAACAACACAGUAGAGCAUGUUGCACAAACAUCUGUAAAGUGCAUAGAAAAACAAUUAUUGCAGAGAGAAAGAGGUGAGGUGGAAGACGUGAAAUAAACCUAGUGUUUAUGAAGAGGUAGCCAUACCCAUGACAUUUUAAUGCAGUAGCUGAGUGACUAGUGGCUGUCAGGUGCUACUGCUUAAAUGUGAAGAGCUUAGAAUGCCAGAGAAAUUAGGAGACAUCACCUAGGAGCUGAAACCCUGCUAUAAAGAGUGGCUCCAAAUGUAGCCCAUGAACCAAAGAAAAAGGAAUGGAUAAACAACAAGGUCCUACUCUAAAGCACAGGGAACUAUAGUUCAUCUCCUGAGAUAGACCAUGAUGGAAAAUAAUAAAAAAAAGGAAUAUAUAUAUAUAUAUGUGUGUGUGUGUGUGUGUACGUAUGUGCGUGUGUAUAUAUAUAUGUAUAUGUAUAUGAUGAGUCACUUUGCUGUACAGCAGAAAUUGGCACUUUGUACUAUAAUUUUUAAAAAAUUAAAAAAAGAGGGAUUCCUGAAAGGAAUCUCUAUUUAUAAAGUAGCUUUUAGCACUGGCUUUAUUUAUUUUACUUUAUUUUUAUUUUAUAAUGAUUUUUAUUAUUUUCCAUUAUAGCUGGUUUAUAGGGUUCUGUCAAUUUUCUACUGUACAGCAAAGUGACCCAGUCACAAAUACAUGCAUACAUUCUUUCUUCUCACAUUAUCAUGCUCCAUCAUAAGUGACUAGACAUAGUUCCCAGUGCUACACAGCAGGAUCUCAUUGAUUACCCAUUCCAAAGGCAAUAGUCUGCAUCCAUUAACCCCAAGCUCCCAAUCCACCCCACUCCCUCCCCCACCCCCUUGGCAACCACAAGUCUAUUCUUCAUGUCCAUGAUUUUCUUUUCUGAGGAAAGGUUCACUUGUGCCGUAUAUUAGAUUCCAGAUAUAAGUGAUAUCCUAUGGUAUUUGUCUUUCACUUUCUGACUUACUUCACUCAGUAUGAGAGUCUCUAGUUCCAUCCAUGUUGCUGCAAAUGACAUUAUUUCGUUCUUUUUUAUGGCUGAGUAGUAUUCCAUUGUGUAUAUAUACACCACAUCUUCUUAAUCCAAUCAUCCGUUGAUGGACAUUUAGGUUGUUUCCACGUUUUGGCUAUUGUGAAUAGUGCUGCAAUGAACAUGUGGGGCAUGUGUAUUUUUUCAGGAAAGUUUUGUCUGGAUAUAUGCCCAAGAGUGGGAUUGCUGGGUCAUAUGGUAGUUCUAUGUAUAUUUUCUGAGGUACCUCCAUACUGUUUUCCACAGUGGUGGUACUAAUUUACAUUCCCACCAACAGUGCAGGAGGGUUCCCUUUUCUCCAGACCCUCUCCAGCAUUUGUUAUUUGUGGACUGAUAAGCUUUUAGCACAGCAAAGGAAACCAUAAAACAAACAAACAAAAACAAAAAAAACCACCAAAAAGACAACUUACAAAAUGGGGGAAAAUAGUUUCAAAGGAUGCAAUGGACAAGGGUUUAGUAUCUAAAAUAUACAAGCAGCUUAUACACCUCAACAGCAAAAAAGCCAACAACCCAACUAAAAAAUGGGCAAAAGACCUGAAUAGACAUUUCUCCAAAGAAGAUAUACAAAUGGCCAACAAACACAUGAAAAAAUGCUCAACAUCACUGAUAAUUAGAGAAAUGAAAAUCAAAACUACUAUGAGGUACCACCUCACACUAGUCAGAAUGGCCAUCAUAAAUUAACUUUAGAACAAACAAACAUGAAGGGCAAAGACCAUCACUGAGGGAAAACAAAAUCAUGGCAUCCAUUAUGGAAUCUCACAAAUGAACAUGUGUUAUACCUCCUAGAUUGAUAUUGAUUUUCACACUAGAUUAUUUUUUACAGUGCUGUGUGAUGGAAGGGAGGCUUUAUUCAGAGGUAUAUGGAUUACUGUUCUCCACAGUCUGAUAGCCAUGAUACUGGAAAUGCUCAUUACCAUCCAAAGCUUCAAUUUUUUACCUGUUAGUCAAAGUAGUCAGUCUGGAAUUCUCCAAUAACACUAGUUUCCUUAGAAUUGUGUUCUAAGAAGUCUAAUUGCAGGUGCUGCAGAAUCAAUAUACUCCUUUAGGAAAGGGAAUUUCUUUAACUUGUUUACCCUUACUAUUAGUCUGAUUAAAAUCCAAAAUUUUUAGAUCCAGCGUGGAGUUGUAGUCAAUCUCUGCCUCCCCUCCACUUCUCUCUCUCUCUCUUUCCAGAUUUGCAGAAGGGGGGGGUUGUCAUUCCUCAGGCCCUCAGAAAGACGGAUCAUAAUUUAUUGCCCCAGAGGAUGGAGAACAUAUCCUUCAGGAGGUCAAAACAGAUUAACAGCAGCCACAGUUUGAGUGUGUGUCCUGUGUCCAUGGAUCCUCCUUCUAUGGAAUGGCCAUGUGGACAAAAACACUCAGCCUAAUUCCCACAGCUUGCUGGAGUAUAUUGAUGGGUAGCCAGUGUUUCAAGAGAAGGGGAAAAAAUAGAUAUAUAAAAACAUUCAUUCAAACUUUUCAAAGUAUACUGCUAAUAAGCAGACACAUGUUCAUAUUUCAAAUACGAUUUUGUUACCUAUAUUUCAACUGCUGUAUUUAAUCAAGUUGCACCAACCACCACUGUAUCUAUGGCCUGCAGAUUUCAACCACUUUAUGGAAUGGUCUGAUACCAAAAAACAACUCUGGAAACAGAGUAAGAUCUGCUUAGAUAGCCCUAGGUUUCCAGGAAGGGAAGUGUUUGGGGAUUGAAUUUGAGACCUGACUAGUGCAAACUCUUUAUGCUGCGUCAUUCUGAUCUGAUCAGAAGAGCUCCCUAGAAAACGUGGAGUUACACAGACAAAAGCAAGGAGAGAAAUCCAUGUAUGACUGAUCAGAUGCUUUGAUGUCAUAUGUAGACAAAGCCUGUGCACAUUCCUAAGCUGUUGAGGUUAGAAACUGUGCCAUAAGUUUUGUUUAACUUCUAUAAAAUACUUUGCAUAUGAAAUACUUAUAAAAUACUUUUAAAUUUCUUUAGUCUCAAUAAUGAAGAUCUGUUUUAAAACAUAUGUUUGCAAAAGUUUUUUUUUUUUUUUUCCUGGAAUGCUUUCUUUUUUUUCUUUCUUUUUUUUUUUUUUUAAGAUUCAAUCACUAAUUCAUAGGAAUUUCUAAGCAGGUUCAGGUGCCUUGCACAGUAAUAGGCUACCAGUUCUCUCAUUUGGGAAUAUAAUCAUAAAUAAUCACUUUGGUCAAAAAUAGCCUAAUGCCUAAACACUUUUUUUGACUCCUAGAGCAUUCAGAUAUUCUGCUUAAAGUAUCUGGAAAACCUGAAUAAAUGUUUGAGGAGCAUCCUGGGAGAAUGGGAAGAUAACUGGAUUUGGGAUUCACACUAUGUGAUCUGGGACAAAUCACUCACCUUUCUGAGCCUCAGGAUUUUUUUUUCUUUUUUCUAACUAUAACGUGCGGGUAAUAAUAUCUGUUCUGCCUACUUCACAGAGUAUUGCAAAGACUAAAUUGAAUUAUACAGGUGAAAGAAUUUUAAAAAGUGAUAUGCAUGCAUAAGUAAGUAUUUUAUAUGUUUUUCAAUAAGAAAGAAAUAGUUUAUGAUUAAAAGAUAAAUUUAAACCUCAAACUGUAAUUAAUAUGACUGCCUAUCCCAACCAUUUUGAAUAGUGAGAUAUAGUAACUUCAACUCUUGUUCUCUUUAGCACAAAAAUGAACUGAAAACUAAAGGGAUGGGGAGCACUUUUUAAAUAGAAAUUUUCCCUGCAAGGACCUUGCAUUAUUAUUUAUUUCUUUUCCUAGUGCCUAGAUAGUGUCUGGCAUAUUAUGGAUACCCAAUAAAUUUUUAAUGAAUAGAAAGCUGGGAAAUUGAACCUCACAAACACAGUCAGUUUAUGGAGUUAAAACUAAAGCUCAAAUAGAAUUUUAAAUUGAAAUUAUUUUUACAUAUUGAAAUAUUGAUACCAGUGAGUAGAGUGACCUGCUUAAAGAACAAAGACUUUUUUUGACAGAAGUUUCCAUAUAAGUUUUAGUCAUCAUAAAUAUUCAAGGAAACUUUAUUCAUCCAGCUAGAAACUUAUAUUUGUCAGCAAAAACCAUUGUUCUGUGGAUGUUUACUAGAGUCCAUUCAACACAUUAGGUGUUUCUGCCUAUUUUGUCAGAGGCAUUUGGACUGGUAGAAAAAUACAUUAUCGUAUAUCUAAAAAGUAAACUCACAUUCCAAGCGUGUUGGGGCAAGCCACUAACUACCCAUGUAAAGUAAAUCUUCUCAUUUGAUUUUCAGAGCAAAAAUGGAAACUGUCUGUUUUGAUUUAAAUCUGUCCCAGAGCAGUUUCCAUGAGUUAACACAGAUGAAUUGUAAACCUAGGACCAAAUAAACAAAUGAAUAUCCAAGUGGCUUUGAACAACUGAACCAUUGCAUGGUUUCCAGUGGGUGCAUCCUUCUCCCCAAGCCUACAUCAUAAUUAAGAGGUUACAACAGAAAGAAACCUGGGACAAUGGCAUGGGGAGAGAAUGCUAAAAUAAUGAGAGGAAAAACCUAGGACAAUCUGUUUAAUAACCUCAUAGCUAUUGCUCACAUCAGAGUGACAAACAGUAUAACAUGGCAGAGCUCUCGUGUCCUCUGGCUGUUCUGCACUCCCUCCACACUUCUUUACUGUGCCAGAAUGACUUAGCUUCUUUUUACAGCCCUCACACACAUUAAGUCGACAAGGGACGGAGAAAGCCUGCCAUUGCAGCAUGGGAAAAACGGGAGAGUGAUGAAGAAUUGGGUCACACUGAUUAAGGGAUAAAGAUAAAUCUUGACUAGACAUAUAAGGGGUAAGACAGAUAAGUGAUGCAAAACCCAGAUAUUUUAGUUUUUAGUUCUGGGCAUAAACAAUAAUCAAAAUCUUUUGUUUUUGUUUUUGUUUUGCUUUGUUUUUUUUAUUUUUUUUAUUUUUCCCUGAGUUUUAGACUAUCAUAUUAAAAAAAACAACUUUUAAUUGGGAUGCAAAGUUUCAUUACAAUGCAGUUAGGGCAUUUGAAUUAGUAGCAACAAAAUAAAAUGAGGAAUGCUAGAAAAGGUACUUUGACAGAUUUUAGGAUACACUUCUUGAUGGGUACAAAAGUUAUAAUGAGAAAUGUUAUAGAGUCCAAAGGGCAGAGUACUUGGUGAUUUCUUAUGGAUAUAUAACACAGUUUCAACUAGGUCUUUCAUUCAUUGCAAGGCUCCAAAAGACCAGGUAUCACAAUCUAUAUAUACCUAGGUUAUAGAGAUAAUGCAGAAAUGCAUACAUUUGGCCAGGAAUGAAAUAAAAGUGAAUGGCAGGGAUUUUCCUUUUUUCCCUGAUAAACUAGUUCUCCUACAGAACAAAUAUAAAAUGUAAGUUUUUAAAAAACACCAUAAUAACACACACACAAACAAAACCAGCAAACAACCAUUUGAUAACAUUAGAACAACCAAGAAUCCAGAAAAAAGACACAUCUUUAGAUGAGCCAGAUCUUAUCUGCUCUUAUCCUGUUCCUUAGGGUUAGUGUUAGAGUUAGAACAGUGUUUAGGGUUAGAGAGUCUGUUCAUUCCAAGCAUGGCACAUAGAGGCUGAACCGAAAGCAUUAGUUUAGAACUUGCAGUGGUUUUAAUGGACUGGACAGACAAAGUUAGAGUUUAAGUUACCAGGAUAGCCAGGACUUAAGAGGACAAGAUCCCUGAGAAAAGGGAACUUCAAAGAAGACCAACAAACUCCAUGGAAUUCCCCCUUGAGACAUGUGUAACCCUAAACUGUACUUGAAUGAAGCCAAAUUAAAAAAAAAAA